UCCAGUCGUCCGCCUCCGCGCCCCAUCCCAUCAGCGCUUGCAGUUGCAGCUCAUCCCGUCCCCUCUCUUGCCACCACCACAGCACUGGCGCUUGCCCAUAUGGGUCUACCACGGCUGUUGUUGUUGCUGCUGCUGCAGAGAAGAAUCCCGCCCCGCCGCAAGCUGCACUGUGGAUGCCUCGACACGACCGCGCCAAGCUGCCCGGUGCGGCAUGCUAUAGCACUCCGCAGACACGCACGCCAAGUGUUCGACGAAACUCCGGCCGGUGGCAGUGCCAAUCAGCCACCAUGUCUUCGGUGGCCCUGCCAGCCUGCCCGUGCUGUUCUGCUGUGCCUCUACAGUGGGAUGGCCACUCGGAUCCGAGCAUCUCAAUGCUUUAGGACCAAUUAAUUUCGUGUUAUCUGACAUGACUGUAUCUUUCUGGUUGGCGUGCCGGGCUUCAUGUCCACCACUAUGCCAGCACAGUGUCCGUGCCGUGGGCAUCAGCCUGUCAUCAUCUGCUGCUUCCUCACCGUUGAGAUGCCAAAUAAAUCUAAUCGGCUGUCUUUCAAGUGGCGAACAACAUCCUUUUCUGGAGUAUAAAUUGCACAGCAUCCGGGGAGCUGGAUGAUCUCGACCGGAAUCUCAUCUUCUUCGACAUCAGAAUUCACAAUUCAGCUCACCUGGUUUACCGGCCUUGGUUCUUCGAGUGCUCAAGGUUUUAUUCAGUGGCACAUGGCAGAAUGCUGACCACUGCUGAUAUGUGCCACUAACCAUGUGGAGGCAGCAAUAUCUACCUGCCUUGACUAACUGCUGUUUCUGCGCACCCCUAUGAGGAUCUAUUUCGCAACAAGUGCGCUCUGCACAAAGUGGUAGUGACUUCCAAGAACUUUGCAUUUCUCCUGGUCUCACAUGGUGAUAUAAUUGGUGAUAAAGUGGAGCAUUUCCAUCAGUGAACUUGUCCUUUCAAAAGUAGAAUCAUGUCACUGUUUUGCUGGUCUAUGCUAUGGCAACUUUCUAGCACGCAACGCGGGUAUUGAAAGGAGGUACUAUCUUGGGGUGGAAAGUUGGCAAACGGGAAAGGCGAGAAGAAAAUUUCUGGAAUGGGGUUCUAGAAGUUUUGGAUUUGAUUGCCUCAAUACUGUCUUUCUUAAGUAGAGCAGUGGUAAAAGAGGGUGAAGAGGAAGACAGCGUGAUGGCGGGAAGGACUAGCGGAACAAGUGGACCCACGUGAGCCACAAGAGGGGGAGGCAGGAGGACGCAUCGCUUACAGCAUGUGGGCCCGUUUCUGUUGCGGUGGGCCAAGCAGGCUUUUUACUUGCGUGUGGGUCGGCGUCUCAGACACUUCACAUGACCAUUGUCUUGGUAGCUUCGUGUGGUGCCACGUGGGCCCCAGGGGUGCACACACGCAUCCGUCUGUCUAUCCAUACGCCCGCCCGUCUGCGUGUAUCGGCCAGCCAUCCAGCCACGCGCAAGACAUGGAAACAUCGCACAUACGUACGUGGAAUUUUUAUUAUUUCCCCUUUUUAUAUAUUCACAAAUUUAUAAGUCUGUUCCAUCAACGAUAACUAAGGGCAUCUUCAGUAGAUUACUCAUCCAUCUCCCCUAGUUUCCCAAUACCAAAAAUAUGUCUUUUUGGUAAUAGAAGUGCUC